AUGGUCCGGUGAAGUGUUCGGAUCGCGGCGACGUGGGCGGUUCGCUGCCCGCGACGUCGCGAGAAGUCCACUGAACCUUAUCAUUUAGAGGAAGGAGAAGUCGUAACAAGGUUUCCGUAGGUGAACCUGCGGAAGGAUCAUUGUCGAGACCCGUAAAUCAGACCGCGAACACGUGUUAAUAACAUUCGCCCGCUCGACGCUUGCGUCCAGAGGGCUCACGAACCCCGGCGCGGCAUGCGCCAAGGAAAACUGAAAGGAAGCGUCGCACCCCAAGAUGCCCGUUCGCGGUGCGUUUUGGGAACGUGACGUCUCUCCAACGUCUAAACGACUCUCGGCAACGGAUAUCUCGGCUCUCGCAUCGAUGAAGAACGUAGCGAAAUGCGAUACUUGGUGUGAAUUGCAGAAUCCCGCGAACCAUCGAGUCUUUGAACGCAAGUUGCGCCCGAAGCCUCCUGGCCGAGGGCACGCCUGCCUGGGCGUCACGCAUCGCGUCGCCCCCUCCGACAUCCCUAGGGAUUUACGAGUGGGAGCGGAAAAUGGUCUCCCGCGUGCCGCUGUGCUCGUGGCUGGCUCAAAUAAGAUCCUGCAUCGACGGAUGACACGACCAGUGGUGGUUGAAAACUCAAUCGUGCUGUCGUGCAUCGCCACGUCGUUUGCGAGGUAUUCGUUCGAAACGACGGCGCUUCGUGCGCCUUCGACCGCGACCCCAGGUCAGGCGGGACUACCCGCUGAGUUUAAGCAUAUC
rnacentral:rRNA from 1 species